UACGUAGGGGGCAAGCGUUGUCCGGAUUUAUUGGACGUAAAGAGCGUGUAGGCGGCCAGGUAGGUCCGUUGUGAAAACUCGAGGCUCAACCUCGAGACGCCGAUGGAAACCAUCUGGCUAGAGUCCGGAAGAGGAGAGUGGAAUUCCCGGUGUAGCGGUGAAAUGCGCAGAUAUCGGGAAGAACACCCGUGGCUAAGGCGGCUCUCUAGUACGGUACUGACGCUGAGACGCGAAAGCGUGGGGAGCGAACAGG
rnacentral:rRNA from 1 species